rnacentral:rRNA from 1 species
AUCGAACGCUGGCGGCAGGCUUAACACAUGCAAGUCGAACGAGUGGCGGACGGGUGAGUAAUGUCUGGGAAACUGCCUGAUGGUGGGGGAUAACUACUUGAAACGGUAGCUAAUAACGCCUACCCUUAGUUGUGUCCAGAGGGGAUUAGCUAGUUGGUGGGGUAACGGCUCACCAAGGCGACGAUCCCUAGCUGGUCUGAGAGGGUGACCAGCCACACUGGAACUGAGACACGGUCCAGGCUCCAACGGGAGGCAGCAGGGGGGAAUAUUGCACAAUGGACGCAAGCCUGAUGCAGCCAUGCCGCGGAUGUGAAGAGGGCCUUCGGGUUGUAAAGUACUUUCAGCGGGGAGGCGUUACCCGCAGAAGAAGCACCGGCUAACUCCGUGCCAGCCGCCGCGGUAAUUC